rnacentral:pre_miRNA from 1 species
GUGACAGAAGAGAGUGAGCACACAGGGUUCUUUCUUGCAUGAGUGCCUCAUGCUUGAAACUUUAUGUGCUUGCUCUCCUUCCGUCAC